GGUGAACGCUGGCGGCGUGCUUAAGACAUGCAAGUCGAACGGGCUCUUCGGAGCCAGUGGCGCACGGGUGAGUAACGCGUAACUGACCUACCCCAAAGUCGCGGAUAACGAUUCGAAAGAAUCGCUAAUACGUGAUGUGCUGUCAGAUCCUGUUCUGCCAGUAAAGAUUUAUUGCUUUGGGAUGGGGUUGCGUUCCAUCAGCUAGUUGGUGGGGUAAAGGCCCACUAAGGCGACGACGGAUCGCCGGCCUGAGAGGGUGGCCGGCCACAGGGGCACUGAGACACGGGUCCCACUCCUACGGGAGGCAGCAGUUAGGAAUCUUCCACAAUGGGCGAAAGCCUGAUGGAGCGACGCCGCGUGAGGGAUGAAGGUCGUCGGAUCGUAAACCGCUGAAUCAGGGACGAAAGACGCGAAAGCGGGAUGACGGUACCUGAGUAAUAGCACCGGCUAACUCCGUG
rnacentral:rRNA from 1 species